UUUUUAUGGAGAGUUUGAUCCUGGCUCAGAGUGAACGCUGGCGGCGUGCCUAAUACAUGCAAGUCGAACGAUGAAGCUUCUAGCUUGCUAGAAGUGGAUUAGUGGCGCACGGGUGAGUAAGGUAUAGUUAAUCUGCCCUACACAAGAGGACAACAGUUGGAAACGACUGCUAAUAC
rnacentral:rRNA from 1 species